rnacentral:tRNA from 1 species
GCCUUCGUGGUGUAACGGUAGAACAAUCGAAACGUAUUCGAGAGGUUUAGGUUCGAGUCCCGACGAGGGCA